rnacentral:lncRNA from 1 species
CUUGUACACAGACCUUGCUAUCUCCCCAGUAAAGUCGCAUUUGCAAGUGAAGGACAUUGAUAGAGAUUCUCAAAAUAGUGUGCAGGGGAAAAGGGGGGUGAGUUAGACUGAAAGCACAGCACAGGCCCUGAGAACAAAAGGUCCUCUCACAGAUUUGCACUUUCCAAACACCACUGAUGUAUGUGAAAGAAAACACAGACGAUAAAUUCUCAUUCUCAGCGCACAUUUCAAGACAUCACUUUAAUUAUUCCUAUCACUUCUGUUGUCUGUUGCACUCCCCCAACGUAUGAGCAAUACUUCCCAUGUUUUCAGCAGCACUUUUUGUAUACCCAAUGUGCAGGUGCAGCAAAUACCUUGGCAAGGGGGAAAGCGAUUAUCACUUAAGAAAACAGUAACACUGUAUAGUUCCUACUUCUUCAAGGUCUUGAGCAAAGCAUAAAUUCUCAUGAAAACGAACUCACUACACUUCAAGCAUCAGACAGCGAAGCAGGUCAAGUCUACAGAGCUGCACUUCAUUUUUUCUGAGAACUCUGCGCUUUCUUGUUUACUCUUUCCGCAAGUGGAGUGGAUCGUGAUCUGGCUCGUUGUUCCUUUUUCCUAUGCAUAUACUUCUUUGAGAAUUGCUUCUAAAGAGGUAUAGGGCAUGGGAAAAUGGGGCAACAGAGGUACUUCACCACUCAUCUCAAGCAGCAUCGUGAAGGCAGCAGCAGAAAUGUUUGGAGAAAGCAGACGGGAGAAGAAAUGAAAGGAAGUUGCUCCUGUGGGUCCUUAUUCCGUAAGUGUGCAAUUGAAAAGAGCAGAGAUGCAGCCACACAAAUGCCCAGAACUCUGCCCUUCCUCGCUGUCUCACAGGUGCUGGGAUCAGCCCCCCCAGAAUCCAGGUGUCUUGGAGGUAGAAGUAGAACCUCUCUUUGCUCAUUUUAUUUAAUAGAAAAACAAUCAUUAAACACAAUUUUUAUGUAUUUGUCCAAUUACUUUAAAUAGCAAUGUGUCACAUCAGUUCUGGGGGGAAAAUAUUGGUUUUAUGAAACAAUGUAACUGUACAUAAUGCAUGUCAAAUAAAUAUUUGAUGUUUCAGUCA